rnacentral:rRNA from 1 species
GAUGAACGCUGGCGGCGUGCCUAAUACAUGCAAGUCGAGCGAACAGACGAGGCGCUUGCUCCUCUGACGUUAGCUGCGGUCGGGUUAGUAACCCGUGGAUUACCUCCCUAUUAGCCUGGGAUAACCUCGGGAAACCCGAGCUAAUACCGCAUAUUAUAUCGAACCGCAUGGUUCAAUAGUGUAAGACGGUUUUGCUGUCUCUUAUAGUUUGAUCCGCGCCGCAUUAGCUAGUUGGUAAGGUAACGGCUUACCAAGGCGAAGAUGCGAAGCCGACCUGAGAGGGUGAUAGGCCAGACGGGAACUGAGACACGGACCAGACUCCUGCGGGAGGCAGCAGUAGGGAAUCUUACGCAAUGGGCGAAAGCCUGACGGAGCAACGCCGCGUAAGUGAUGAAGGUCUUCGGAUCGUAAAACUCUGUUAUUAGGGAAGAAGAAAUGUGUAAGUAACUAUGCACGUCUUGACGGUACCUGAUGAGAAAGCCACGGCUAACUACGUG